AACGAACGCUGGUGGCAUGCCUAACACAUGCAAGUCGAACGAGACCUUCGGGUCUAGUGGCGCACGGGUGCGUAACGCGUGGGAACCUGCCCUUAGGUUCGGAAUAACUCCCCGAAAGGGGUGCUAAUACCGGAUAAUGUCUUCGGACCAAAGAUUUAUCGCCUUUGGAUGGGCCCGCGUUGGAUUAGCUAGUUGGUAGGGUAAAAGCCUACCAAGGCGACGAUCCAUAGCUGGUCUGAGAGGAUGAUCGGCCACACUGGGACUGAGACACGGCCCAGAAUCCUACGGGAGGCAGCAGUGGGGAAUAUUGGACAAUGGGCGGAAGCCUGAUCCAGCAAUGCCGCGUGAGUGAUGAAGGCCUUAGGGUUGUAAAGCUCUUUUAACCGGGAUGAUAAUGACAGUACCGGGAGAAUAAGCUCCGGCUAACUCCGUG
rnacentral:rRNA from 1 species